UUAACGUGAAGUUCCUGUCAAUC
rnacentral:snRNA from 1 species